UAAAAACCUCAUACAAGCAUUUUUAUCAUGGGAAAAGGAAAGAGAUGCUGAAAUACAAAAACAGCAUGCACAAGAGAUGACUGCUUUAGAAGAAAGAUUUAGGCUUACUGAAAGUAAUUUAAAGAAAGAAACAGACACUUUGAGACAGUUGAUGCUGGCCACUAUGAUAUGGUUAAAGAAAUACAAAGACAGUGAGGAGCAGAACCAGCAAGGGGCUUCAGGAGGUCAAGAAGAUCUGCUGUUCAAAGAAUGUAGCGACACCGUCUUGAAAAACAUGUUUCCUUCCAUCAUUGAUGAUUUUACUGAACGUGAGAAUGCACUGAAAGAACAGCUGGCGGAUUGUAAAGACACUGUGAGCACCUUGGAGAAAAUGUAUUCUUCCUUGACUGAUGAUUAUGUUAAUCAUCAGAUAAAGAGUGAAAAUGAGAAGCUCCAAAGAGAACUGGAGGAACUCGAACUCAAGGAAAGAGCGUUGGAACAAAAACGUAAGGAAGAGGAGGACAGGUUAAGGCUGGAGAAAGAUCUGAGUAGAAGAGAGAAGGAACUGGAGUCCAAAGAGAGAGGAACGGCAAAUAAAGAGCAAUACAUCCUGCUUAGUGGAGAAGAGCAUAUGCUACAUCUAACUUCUCCUGCGUUGUCUGAAGGAAAGCAGAGAUCUCUAGAUGAAAGAAAAGGAGAGUGGAAGAGCAAAGAUGAAGAUUCACAUGACAGUGAACCACUUGAGUUUGGAAAACCUGUGAGACGCAACAGCAGCCAAUUUGAGAUCCCUAAUAUGACUGAAAGUGAAGAUGAACCCCUAAACACACUCUGAAACCACAGACGUCAGUUGGAGGAUUCAACAACAGCAUUUUACUCCACUUCAUCAAUAUUCAGUAGACAACUCAAAAUGUGGUAAAGGUCAAAUAUCCAAUCCAUCUACAGUACAUGUGUGAAACACCUCACAGACGUCAAAAACAUGGAGACAACAACAGUUUAAAGUUAAUAUGGUUUCUGGGCAGCUGAGCAGGAAGUGAUGUUAGCAGAGGAAAACAUGCUUUUAAAAAUAGCUUAUUAAUGAAUAAAUAUGCUUUAUGUGAAAAUGUAAGAUGUAAUUUUAAAAGAUUAGUUGGAAGCCGAAGGGAGAGAGAAUCCCAAAACUAGUGGAUCUGGGGGUUUACCAUUAAAAAUGUGAUAUUUCUCACCAGAAAGAUUCACCCUUUAUUAAACUGAAAGUUUGUUUUAUGGAGGAUUUCUGUGAACUCUCUAGAUGAAAUAGCAGAGACCAGGUAUCUAUAAAAAAUAUUUUAUAUUUUUGUGCUCUGUCAUUCUUAAAAAAGGAAAUAAAAAAUAUAUUUAUAUAUUUGAGAAAUUAUUUCUUUAUUCUUAUUCAUAUUUCAUUAUUUUCACAACUAUAAGCAAAUCAAAAUAAGUAUAAUGUUGUAAUAUUCGAAUAAACUCGGAGUCAAACGCACAGUCAACGAAUGUGCCCCCAGGACUGACACAUGAUUCAGGUCAGAAACAAUGUUAUUGGCCAAUACGCCAUAUUACAUCAACACAAAACAAAACUACACACAAUGCCAUAUUUGCUUUACAUCUGAAGUAAUGGUCUAACAGCACCUUCUAGUGAGAAUGAGUUGUAUUACAUUAACACGCUGCAUAUUUAAAGGGGUAGUUCACCCUAAUGAAAGUUCUGUCACCAUUUACUCACCUUCAUGCUACAAACCUGAGUUUAUUUUCUUCUGCAGAACACAAAAAUAUAUUUUUGGGAGAUAUUGUUUGGGCCUCAGU
rnacentral:lncRNA from 1 species